AGGAUCUCAUCCCAUUUGCAAAGUCCCACAUGAUGACUAAAUGGAAUAACCUUUGGUCUCAGUCAAGCAGAUCCUGUGGCAGAUAUUAUGCUGAAAUUCAAGACUCCAUCCCUCCUAGACCUUGGUUUUUCCAAUACCGUCAAGCUUGCAAAUUUGUCUGUUCAACAAUAUGUCGCCUUAGACUUGGACACUCAUGUACUCCUGUAUUUCUUGCAAAGAUCAGGAUCAGGGACAACUCCCUUUGUGAAUGUGGGAUCGACGAAGGUAAUUCAACAGUGAAAAUCUGCCACUUUAAUACCGUAUAAAUAUUUAACACUUGUACUCUCAUGACACCAAUAUUCUUAGCAGAGCAUUUACCCUAAACAUAAAAUCAUAGACUCACUCUGACAUUGGCAAAUCCUCACGGAAGCCAUUAUA